rnacentral:lncRNA from 1 species
UUUCUUUAAUGUACUUUCUAGUGUUUUCGGUGAAAAACAUUUUAACGUUUGCUUUCAGUCAUUUUGAAGCAACAUUAUUCAAACUUUUUUGAAUAUAGCUGAGAAAAAAUGGUUAAAAAUAAACCAUGUUUUACGUGAGUAUUAGGGUCCAUUGGGGUUACCGGGGCGACCUGGGGAACGUGGUGACAAAGGUGACCCUGGAAAUCCCGGUUUACCGGGUGCUGAUGGGAAAAAGGGAGAUACAGGCGAGCCGGGGAAACCUGGGCCUCCUGGAACACAAAUCUUUGCUGACAGCACAUGUCGACCAGAGUCAUUAAGGUGAGCUUAAGAAUAAAAUGCAUCAUAACUUAAAAUGAAUGUUGUUGAUUGUUGAAAAUUAACUUUUAUCAUGUAGGGUGAGCCAGGAGAGCCUGGUCAGCCUGGUUCCAAAGGAGAAAUGGGUCUUCCUGGGCAAAGAGUGAGUUUAUUCUGGGACAGCUAAGCUUAACCUCCAAUUAAAAAUGUUAUUUUUAGUGUUUUUAGCAUGUUCCUGUGCUCUUUUUCGGGGGAUGGAGA